UACAGAGGUCUCAAGCGUUGUCCGGAUUCAUUGGGCGUAAAGAGCGUGUAGGCGGCCAGGUAGGUCGGUUGUGAAAACUGGAGGCUCAACCUUCAGACGUCGACCGAAACCAUCUGGCUAGAGUCCGGGAGAGGAGAGUGGAAUUCCUGGUGUAGCGGUGAAAUGCGUAGAUAUCUGGAGGAACAUCAGUGGCGAAGGCGACACCCUGGACUCAUACUGACACUGAGGUGCGAAAG
rnacentral:rRNA from 1 species